CCCUUAGAUGUCCUGGGCCGCACGCGCGCUACACUGAUGCAUGCAACGAGUUUAUAACCUUGGCCUGAAAGGUCUGGGUAAUCUUUUGAACGUGCAUCGUGAUAGGGAUAGAUUAUUGCAAUUGUUAAUCUUGAACGAGGAAUUCCUAGUAAACGCGAGUCAUCAGCUCGCAUUGAUUACGUCCCUGCCCUUUGUACACACCGCCCGUCGCACCUACCGAUUGAAUGGUUUAGUGAGAUCUUCGGAUUGGCGCCACUGCGGCUCAGCAAUGGGCUCGGUGGAUGCCGAAAAGUUGAUCAAACUUGAUCAUUUAGAGGAAGUAAAAGUCGUAACA
rnacentral:rRNA from 1 species